rnacentral:rRNA from 1 species
GACGAACGCUGGCGGCGUGCUUAACACAUGCAAGUCGAACGGAAAGGCCCCCUUGUGGGGUACUCGAGUGGCGAACGGGUGAGUAACACGUGAGUAACCUACCCUUGACUUUGGGAUAACUUCAGGAAACUGGGGCUAAUACCGGAUAGGAGCUCCUGCUGCAUGGUGGGGGUUGGAAAGUUUCGGCGGUUGGGGAUGGACUCGCGGCUUAUCAGCUUGUUGGUGGGGUAGUGGCUCACCAAGGCUUUGACGGGUAGCCGGCCUGAGAGGGUGACCGGCCACAUUGGGACUGAGAUACGGCCCAGACUCCUACGGGAGGCAGCAGUGGGGAAUAUUGCACAAUGGGCGGAAGCCUGAUGCAGCAACGCCGCGUGCGGGAUGACGGCCUUCGGGUUGUAAACCGCUUUCGCCUGUGACGAAGCGUGAGUGACGGUAAUGGGUAAAGAAGAACCGGCUAACUACGUG